rnacentral:rRNA from 1 species
GACAGAGGGUGCUAGCGUUGUUCGGAAUUACUGGGCGUAAAGGGCGCGUAGGCGGCUCGUUUAGUCGGGUGUGAAAUCCCGGGGCUCAACCCCGGAACUGCAUUCGAUACUGGCGGGCUAGAGACCGGAAGAGGUGGGUGGAAUACCCAGUGUAGAGGUGAAAUUCGUAGAUAUUCGCAAGAACACCAGUGGCGAAGGCGGCCAACUGGUCCGGUACUGACGCUGAGGUGCGAAAGCGUGGGGAGCAAACAGG